CAGCCGCCACGGUAAUACGAAGGGGGCUAGCGUUGCUCGGAAUUACUGGGCGUAAAGGGAGCGUAGGCGGACAUUUAAGUCAGGGGUGAAAUCCCAGAGCUCAACUCUGGAACUGCCUUUGAUACUGGGUGUCUUGAGUGUGAUAGAGGUAUGUGGAACUCCGAGUGUAGAGGUGAAAUUCGUAGAUAUUCGGAAGAACACCAGUGGCGAAGGCGACAUACUGGAUCAUUACUGACGCUGAGGCUCGAAAGCGUGGGGAGCAAACAGGAUUAGAGACCCGAGUAGUCCCUGUCUCUUAUAC
rnacentral:rRNA from 1 species